AUGAACGCUGGCGGCGUGCUUAACCCCUGCAAGUCGCACGAAGCACUUUAUUUGAUUUCCUUCGGGACUGAUUAUUUUGUGACUGAGUGGCGGACGGGUGAGUAACGCGUGGGUAACCUGCCUUGUACAGGGGGAUAACAGUUGGAAACGGCUGCUAAUACCGCAUAAGCGCACAGCAUCGCACGAUGCAGUGUGAAAAACUCCGGUGGUAUAAGAUGGACCCGCGUUGGAUUAGCUAGUUGGUGAGGUAACGGCCCACCAAGGCGACGAUCCAUAGCCGACCUGAUAGGGUGACCGGCCACAUUGGGACUGAGACACGGCCCAAACUCCUACGGGAGGCAGCAGUGGGGAAUAUUGCACAAUGGGCGAAAGCCUGAUGCAGCGACGCCGCGUGAGCGAAGAAGUAUUUCGGUAUGUAAAGCUCUAUCAGCAGGGAAGAUAAUGACGUUACCUGACUAAGAAGCACCGGCUAAAUACGUG
rnacentral:rRNA from 1 species